rnacentral:rRNA from 1 species
GAUGAACGCUGGCGGCGUGCCUAACACAUGCAAGUCGAGCGGCAGCGAGGGGUGCUUGCACCCUGCCGGCGAGCGGCGGACGGCUGAGUAACGCGUGGGAACGUGCCCCAAAGUGAGGAAUAACUGCCCGAAAGGGUAGCUAAUACCGCAUAUUAUCUUCGGAUCAAAGGAUUUAUCCGCUUUGGGAGCGGCUCGCGUCGGAUUAGGUAGUUGGUGAGGUAAUGGCUCACCAAGCCGACGAUCCGUAGCUGGUCUGAGGGGAUGACCAGCCAGACUGGAACUGAGACACGGUCCAGACUCCUACGGGAAGCAGCAGUGAGGAAUCUUCCACAAUGGGCGAAAGCCUGAUGGAGCAACGCCGCGUGCAGGACGAAGGCCUUCGGGUUGUAAACUGCUUUUAUAAGUGAGGAAUAUGACGGUAACUUAUGAAUAAGGAUCGGCUAACUACGUG